rnacentral:lncRNA from 1 species
UAGUCGUGCUAUGUCUGUUUCACCCAUGAAUGUUUUUAUUGUGAUACAAUCGUCUAGAUACCGUGUUAACAGCAGGCUGAUUUUUGCAAUUGAUAGACGAAGUGAUGGAAAGUGGAGCGAUCCUAUUGGCAGAAACGAGUGGUAAUUAUAGACAAAGAUAGAAAGUGAUUUGCCGUUGUUUGGUUUGUCCAUUAUAAACACUCGCCUUCAUCGAGAGGAUCGUCCAUAUUUCCAUCGCCUUGUCUCUCAAUCUUAAUCAUCAGCCGUUGGGUAAGGAAAUCUUGUGAUGAUAAAUCUCCAUGAUUACAGGUGAGCGGAGAUAAAGAGCAGAAACACCAAGGGGUAUCAAUACCGCGAAUGAUUCGGCCCUGUUUCCGGGGCUCGGGACCAAACAUAGAACUCUGCGAGGAAUGCAUUGAUUCAUGCCAGUCGGUGGGUAACGAGUUGGAAUACUGCGAAGCCAAACGUUGCAGAAGACUCUGUAGAGGAGAGGCCUCCCUCAUCUGCCAGAACUAAGGUGCCCAUCGGAAUCCAUUGGCAACUCUUUCCAGUAAGAUGAAGUUGCUUUACAAGAUCACUCUUGGCUUUGUCUUUACCUCAGCAUUAUUGAUGCUCAUUAGAUCGGAAGAGAAGGAAGAUGAAAUCCUCGCUGGUUUGAGGACGAGGACGGAUAGUAAAUGUCUGAAUUGCAUGAUAAAAUGCAUGCAGAGGAGGAAGGACAAAUCUUUCAAAAGCUGUUUAGAAUUCGUUUGCCCUCUGUCCUGUGAAAGCGCAUUACUCAUCGCUCAAUAAAUUCUUUGCCUGGAUUUCCAUCGUUGGCACACGGUUAUUGGUCAUGGUCAAGUGACGUCUUCACGCCGGAAUGACCAUCCAUGAGCCGUCCCAUGUUCUUAACCUCGACUCUUUACCAUUCUCAUCGUGAUUUACAAAAAUGUGCCGCCCCUCAAACCAAAAACUUCUCUCAGUAUGUUGUCGUCAAUUUUCACAAAAUAACAUCUUCCAAAAUCUAAUUGAGCCGAUAUAAGUUUGUGUAUUUAUCAUUUUCUUGUUGUUCGUUUUUCUUUGAUAGGACCGAUUUGGAAUUAAAAAAACAAGGAGAUCUAUCCAACAUGAAUAUGUUAGAUAUAUCUUCUUGAUUAUUUUUCAUAAAAAUUGUAUUUUCCAGAUGCGUAUUGCCGUAGUUUCUCCAUCGAUAGAAGUGACAUCUGUGAAAAGGGACCUUAUCUCCCGAGUGCAUAUUGUCUAGGAGAGUCGAAAAUACGAGAAAAGCUUAUAAUUGGCAGUUUUGAGUUUCCGAUGGCAUUAAAUUCACCUCAGAAGCCUUGGAAACAAGCUUUGCACGAUUUUAGUUUGCUUUUCUCACCAGUGAAGGCGAUAGCUACCCCUUUUUUUGUGGCAUGUCAGAAUUGUUCACCUAAACUGAACCUAAAAAUAUUAACAUAAACUUUUUCUUCUUCUGUGUGUCUUGUGGCACAUCCAAUUGUCGUGCCUACAGCCAAGCAUAGAUCGCAUGGGUUUCUUACGGGGACACUACUGCAACAGCCAUGUGCCAUCCACACAUGGGGAGCUAUGUUGCAUCUAGGAAAUAGUGCGGGUCGGGGUCGAGGGGGAAAACGGUGUGAAGGGUAGUAAAAGAAUAGAAAAUGGAGUUAAAAGGAAGAAAUAAAAUUGGUGGAAAAGGAUAUACUUGGGAAGAAUUUUAAAGAUGGCCUAUAAAGUAACAUCACGUAGCUUAUGAGUAGUCGAGCAGCGCGACCUAUACGGAAUUUUGGAGGGAGCAUACACACGACACUAGAACCUAAGUAAGUAAGUAAGUAAGUAAGUAAGUAAGUAAGUAAGUAAGUAAGAAAGUAAAGCCGAACUGACCGGCGAGGCGCCCUCAAGGGCCAAGGCAACUGGCAGCUGCCGUCGUCGUGCACCCCGAAGUUGGACUGUGAUCCUUAACCUCAAAUCAUUGAACAAUUGUGUAUCCGCUAUAUUCCCGCAAAGCUCAGCGGCCGUCUGAUAGCCAACGGUAGGUCUUAUCAAAGACUGUGGCAGACGCUGGAAAGCACGGAUUUUCGAGCACGGCCAUGCCCAAAGACAUAAAGACGAAGUGCUCGUAUCUAAAAGCACGGGGAAGAAGUGAAGCCUGGUUUGGCUCUGGGUGCUUGUGUGAGUGUGUAAAUGAGCGCGGGAAUCCAUGGCGGCAAACGGA